GAUAACCUACCUAUAAGACUGGGAUAACUUCGGGAAACCGGAGCUAAUACCGGAUAAUAUUUUGAACCGCAUGGUUCAAAAGUGAAAGACGGUCUUGCUGUCACUUAUAGAUGGAUCCGCGCUGCAUUAGCUAGUUGGUAAGGUAACGGCUUACCAAGGCAACGAUGCAUAGCCGACCUGAGAGGGUGAUCGGCCACACUGGAACUGAGACACGGUCCAGACUCCUACGGGAGGCAGCAGUAGGGAAUCUUCCGCAAUGGGCGAAAGCCUGACGGAGCAACGCCGCGUGAGUGAUGAAGGUCUUCGGAUCGUAAAACUCUGUUAUUAGGGAAGAACAUAUGUGUAAGUAACUGUGCACAUCUUGACGGUACCUAAUCAGAAAGCCACGGCUAACUACGUGCCAGCAGCCGCGGUAAUACGUAGGUGGCAAGCGUUAUCCGGAAUUAUUGGGCGUAAAGCGCGCGUAGGCGGCCUUCCAAGUCUGAUGUGAAAGCCCACGGCUCAACCGUGGAGGGUCAUUGGAAACUGGAAAACUUGAGUGCAGAAGAGGAAAGUGGAAUUCCAUGUGUAGCGGUGAAAUGCGCAGAGAUAUGGAGGAACACCAGUGGCGAAGGCGACUCCCUGGUCUGUAACUGACGCUGAUGUGCGAAAGCGUGGGGAUCAAACAGGAUUAGAUACCCUGGUAGUCCACGCCGUAAACGAUGAGUGCUAAGUGUUAGGGGGCCUCCGCCCCUUAGUGCUGCAGCUAACGCAUUAAGCACUCCGCCUGGGGAGUACGACCGCAAGGUUGAAACUCAAAGGAAUUGACGGGGACCCGCACAAGCGGUGGAGCAUGUGGUUUAAUUCGAAGCAACGCGAAGAACCUUACCAAAUCUUGACAUCCUUUGACAACUCUAGAGAUAGAGCCUUCCCCUUCGGGGGACCCAGUGACAGGUGGUGCAUGGUUGUCGUCAGCUCGUGUCGUGAGAUGUUGGGUUAAGUCCCGCAACGAGCGCAACCCUUAAGCUUAGUUGCCAUCAUUCCGUUGGGCACUCUAAGUUGACUGCCGGUGACAAACCGGAGGAAGGUGGGGAUGACGUCAAAUCAUCAUGCCCCUUAUGAUUUGGGCUACACACGUGCUACAAUGGACAAUACAAAGGGCAGCGAAACCGCGAGGUCAAGCAAAUCCCAUAAAGUUGUUCUCAGUUCGGAUUGUAGUCUGCAACUCGACUACAUGAAGCUGGAAUCGCUAGUAAUCGUAGAUCAGCAUGCUACGGUGAAUACGUUCCCGGGUCUUGUACACACCGCCCGUCACACCACGAGAGUUUGUA
rnacentral:rRNA from 1 species